AGACAGCAGUCGCCGCGGUAAUACGAAGGGUGCAAGCGUUAAUCGGAAUUACUGGGCGUGAAGCGUGCGUAGGCGGUGAGUUAAGUCUGCUGUGAAAUCCCCGGGCUCAACCUGGAAUGGCAGUGGAUACUGGCUCGCUAGAGUGUGUCAGAGGAUGGUGGAAUUCCCGGUGUAGCGGUGAAAUGCGUAGAGAUCGGGAGGAACAUCAGUGGCGAAGGCGGCCAUCUGGGACAACACUGACGCUGAGGCACGAAAGCGUGGGGAGCAAACAGGAUUAGAUACCCGCGUAGUCCCUGUCUCUUAUACA
rnacentral:rRNA from 1 species